rnacentral:rRNA from 1 species
AACGAACGCUGGCGGCAUGCCUAACACAUGCAAGUCGAACGAGACCUUCGGGUCUAGUGGCGCACGGGUGCGUAACGCGUGGGAACCUGUCCUUAGGUUCGGAAUAACUCCCCGAAAGGGGUGCUAAUACCGGAUAAUGUCUUCGGACCAAAGAUUUAUCGCCUUUGGAUGGGCCCGCGUUGGAUUAGCUGGUUGGUAGGGUAAAAGCCUACCAAGGCGACGAUCCAUAGCUGGUCUGAGAGGAUGAUCAGCCACACUGGGACUGAGACACGGCCCAGACUCCUACGGGAGGCAGCAGUGGGGAAUAUUGGACAAUGGGCGAAAGCCUGAUCCAGCAAUGCCGCGUGAGUGAUGAAGGCCUUAGGGUUGUAAAGCUCUUUUACCCGGGAUGAUAAUGACAGUACCGGGAGAAUAAGCUCCGGCUAACUCCGUG